GACGAACGCUGGCGGCAUGCCUAACACAUGCAAGUCGAGCGAGCUGAUUCCUUCGGGAUGAAGCUAGCGGCGGACGGGUGAGUAACACGUGGGCAACCUGCCUCAUAGAGGGGAAUAGCCUUCCGAAAGGAAGAUUAAUACCGCAUAAGAUUGCAUCUUCGCAUGAAGAAGCUAUUAAAGGAGCAAUCCGCUAUGAGAUGGGCCCGCGGCGCAUUAGCUAGUUGGUGAGGUAACGGCUCACCAAGGCGACGAUGCGUAGCCGACCUGAGAGGGUGAUCGGCCACAUUGGGACUGAGACACGGCCCAGACUCCUACGGGAGGCAGCAGUGGGGAAUAUUGCACAAUGGGGGAAACCCUGAUGCAGCAAUGCCGCGUGAGUGAUGACGGCCUUCGGGUUGUAAAGCUCUGUCUUCGGGGACGAUAAUGACGGUACCCGAGGAGGAAGCCACGGCUAACUACGUGCCAGCCGCCGCAGUAA
rnacentral:rRNA from 1 species